rfam:Felis catus isolate Cinnamon breed Abyssinian chromosome C2, whole genome shotgun sequence.
GCCUGGGUGGCUCAGUUGGUUGAGCGUCUGACUUCGGCUCAGGUCAUGAUUUCACAGUUCAUGGGUUCAAGCCCCGCGUCAUGCU